rnacentral:rRNA from 1 species
AGCAUAUCAGUAAGCGGAGGAAAAGAAACUAACAAGGAUUCCCUUAGUAACUGCGAGUGAAGAGGGAAAAGCCCAGCACCGAAUCCCUCAGCAGAGACGCUGACGGGAAGUGUGGUGUUAAGAUUGUUCUUUGUGCGUUAGUGUUCUGCCCAAGUCCUCUUGACUGGGGCUUGAUGGCCCAGAGUGGGUGUCAGGCCUUUAGCGGCGGAGCGCUGGCGUGCAUGGUUCAAUCGACGAGUCGGGUUGUUUGUGAGUACAACUCAAAGCAGGUGGUAAUCUCCAUCUAAGGCUAAAUAUGCGUACGAGUCCGAUAGCAAACAAGUACCGUGAGGGAAAGUUGCAAAGAACUUUGAAGAGAGAGUUCAAGAGUACGUGAAACCGCUAAGAGGGAAGCGGGUGAAGCCACGUGGUUGCGCUAGGAAUUCAACCGCUUGCGGGCGUCGCUAGUGCGCGUCGUAGCGUGCGGCUUCUGGUCGCUGUGCGUCGUGUAUUAGUUCGAAUGCUCGGGGUGGCGCAGUUUCUUAGCUGCAAUGAGCCACAAUCGGUUGUUCUGGCGGCUUGAAGCUUUCGGUGUCGGAAGCAGAGCUGCGUUGGUUUGCUUCGCAGUCUCGGCCYAUCCGCCGAUUGUUCACAGUGCGCUGGGCGAUCGAGGGCAGCUGCUCAAAGAGCUGAGGCGGCGUAUGCCGUGCGAAGCGGGGCUUGCGUUGUGGUCGGGCUAGUUCGGCGUCGUUUGGACUGGUUCUGCAGUGCUGGCGUCGUCGAGCUGGCUGUCUGGCUACGGGCUUGUCCGGAGAGCAAACGUACGACGCUGUUCCGUGGCGUGCUGGCCACUCACCCGUCCCGUCUUGAAACACGGACCAAGGAGUUCAUCUAGCGGGCGAGUCUAAGGGUGCAGCAAAACCCUAAGGCGUAGUGAAAGCAAAGUCCGCCCUUCGUUGGUGGAUGUGAUGGGAUCCUGGUGCGGCGAGAGCCGUCCGGGCGCACCAUCGUCUCGUCGAUGCCUCGUGCUGGCUCGGCGACGACAGANCCUGCUGGCUGAGACCCGAAAGAUGGUGAACUAUGCCAGAGCAGGGUGAAGCCAGAGGAAACUCUGGUGGAAGCCCGCAGCGAUUCUGACGUGCAAAUCGAUCGUCUGACUUUGGUAUAGGGGCGAAAGACUAAUCGAACCAUCUAGUAGCUGGUUCCCUCCGAAGUUUCCCUCAGGAUAGCUGGCGCUCGUCUGGAGGCAGUUGUACCCGGUAAAGCGAAUGAUUAGAGUGUUCUGGGUCGAAACGGCCUAAACCUAUUCUCAAACUGUAAAUGGGUACGAGGAUUGGCUCGCUUGAAUGGAGUCGGUCUACCUCUGCACGUACGAAUGCGUGGAGUGCCCAGUGGGCCACUUUUGGUAAGCAGAACUGGCGCUGUGGGAUGAACCAAACGCGCGGUUAAGGUGCCAAACGCGGACGCUCAUCGGAAACCACAAAAGGUGUUGGUUGAUAUAGACAGCAGGACGGUGGUCAUGGAAGUCGAAAUCCGCUAAGGAGUGUGUAACAACUCACCUGCCGAAUCAACCAGCCCUGAAAAUGGAUAGCGCUCGAGCGUCGGACCUAUACCGUGCCGUCACGGGAGAAUUGCAGAAGCAGCCCGUGGCGAGUAGGAGGGCGCCGUGGUGAACGUCGAAGCCUAGGGCGCGAGCCCGGGUGGAGUCGCCACGAAUGCAGAUCUUGGUGGUAGUAGCAAGUAUUCAAGUGAGAACCUUGAAGACUGAUGUGUG